rnacentral:rRNA from 1 species
UACGGGGGGAGCAAGCGUUGUUCGGAUUUACUGGGCGUAAAGGGCGCGUAGGCGGCCACCGCAAGUCAAUUGUGAAAUCUCCGGGCUUAACUCGGAAAGGUCAACUGAUACUGCAGGGCUAGAGUCCUGGAGAGGAAGGUGGAAUGCUUGGUGUAGAGGUGAAAUUCGUAGAUAUCAAGCGGAACACCGGUGGCGAAGGCGGCCUUCUGGACAGUGACUGACGCUGAGACGCGAAAGCGUGGGGAGCAAACAGG